GUUUGGUGACAUUUUCAAAGAGGCCCCGUAUUCUACAGUUUUUGGUAAGGCUGUUAAGAUACAUUCUUAUAUCAGUCAAAGGGCACUGUUGUUGAAUAUGAUGAGGAGAUACACAAAGCAAAGAAACUUGGUAAAACCUGCUAUGACAAGAUUCGCAACAGCUUUUUUGACAUUGCAUAGUUUUUAUAUGCAAAAGAAAAAUCUGAGAACCUUGUUUAUGUCCACUGAAUGGAAUGAGAGUGUCUAUGCAAAGGAAACUCUUGGGAAAGAAGUUGCGAGACACAUCAUCAGUCCAUAUUUUUGGAAUGACACUGUUCAAGCACUUAGAGUUGGUGGUCCUUUAAUUAAUGUACUUCGUAUGGUGGAUGGGGAGAAAAAACCACCAAUGGGCUACAUUUAUGAAGCCAUGGAUAGGGCCAAAGAAAGUAUUGAAAAGGCAUUCAAUUAUGAUGACAGGAAAUAUAUGAAUGUUUUCAAAAUCAUUGAUGCAAGGUGGACGGAUCAACUUCAUCAACCUUUACAUGCAGCUGGACAUAUUUUGAACCCGGGGCUCUAUUAUAAAAAUAAUGAGAUGAAGACUUUAACUGAAGAAGUGUGGUUGGGAUAUCAUGCAUGUGUUGAGAGGAUGAUCCUAGAUAAAACUUUGCAAGACAAAAUAGGGCAUUCAAUUAUGAUGACAGGAAAUAUAUGAAUGUUUUCAAAAUCAUUGAUGCAAGGUGGACGGAUCAACUUCAUCAACCUUUACAUGCAGCUGGACAUAUUUUGAACCCGGGGCUCUAUUAUAAAAAUAAUGAGAUGAAGACUUUAACUGAAGAAGUGUGGUUGGGAUAUCAUGCAUGUGUUGAGAGGAUGAUCCUAGAUAAAACUUUGCAAGACAAAAUAGGGGAUGAGCUUGGUGUGUACAUGAAAGCUGAUGGGCUACUUGGAAUUGAGUCGGCCAUUAGAGCUAGAACCUUAAGGUCACCAGUUGAAUGGUGGAUGCAAUAUGGUCAUAAUGUCCCAAACUUGCAACAAUUUGCUAUUAGAGUGCAAAGUUUAACUUGUAGCUCAUCCGGUUGCGAGAGAAAUUGGAGCGUGUAUGAACAUGUGAGAACCUAUAUUACGUUAUUACUAAAUUAAAUGGUAUCUUAGUUGUCCAAAGUCCUCCCAUUAAUUACUUUCUACAUAUUCUAUGCAGAUUCACACAAAAAAGAGAAACAGACUUGAGUUAAAACGCCUGAAUGAUCUAGUGUUCAUCAAAUAUAAUAGAACAUUGGUGCGUCGCUACAAUGCUCGCAAUACCAUUGAUCCAAUUUUAUUGGAUAAUAUUGAUGAUGCAAAUGAAUGGUUAACUGAAGCACCCCAAAAUCAUGAAGAUGAAGAAGUAUAUGAAGGAGAAGGUCUCACUUAUGGUGAAGUUGCUACGGCUAGUGGUGUGGAGGAGAAUAUUUAUGGUUUUAGGGGAAGUACUUUAAGGGGCAAGGAAAAAAGAGUAGCUACAGGUUCAAGUUCAUGUUCAAAAUCAAAUAGAAGUAGAACUCUUGUUGAUGAGUCCUCCGAUGAGGAAGAAGAUGAGGACCAAGUAGAAGUAGAACCCUUGUUGAUGGCACUUCAAGAGUUUGAGGAUCUUGUUGAAAAAUAGGAUUUUGCUCUUUUUGUGAUUUGGUUAUGCAUUUGCUUUAUAUGUUGUUACUUAUGAGGAUUAUUGACUAUCUAGUUACUUUUUAAUCUAAGUCUUUUGAGUUCUUGAUUAUUUAUCUAUGCAUAUUUUAUAUUUUAUAUUUUAUAUUUUUAUACUAAAUAGCGCUUUUUCUGAAAAAAGCAUGCGCUUCGCUUCACGCUUCUCGCUUCUGUGAAGCGAGCCCCCGUCAUUUUUUUCCGCUUCUCGCUUCUCAAAACACUGCACACUCAUACACGUGGCUAGUCGAGUUCCUUUUGGUGAAGUGUUGGUGAGUCCUCAUCCUAUCGAGGGCGAGUUAUGUCUUUGUUCUAUCCUAAAGACUUUUUACUUCAUUCAUGUUUGAGGGUGAGCUAGGAACAUGUCUUAGCCCCUGCCCUUCUUGUUUAGUAGAGACAUUCAUUGGACGAAAUAUGUAGAGUCCAUGUAGUCAACUUUACGAUCUUUUCAUGAUUCAUGUUUAGACUCUUUCUAUGUUAUUUCCGCAUUUACUUUACCUUAUGUAUGCUUAAUGAUAUGUCAAGAGGCUUGGUUGGAGCCCUUUAGGGUUUCGAUCUUUGUGUUACGACUAGGCCCUAGGUCGGGUCGUGACACGUGAUUCUAUUUUUCAAAGCAUGGCAGCGUUCUAAGGCCAUACAGAAGGGUUAAGCUCCGGUUACUUGAGUUGGAGCGUGCGCGGUCGGCCUACAGGUAGGCUACGACUUCCUUUCCUUAGAUUGAGCAUGUUUAAGCAAUUGUAUGUUGAUUUAUACAAGAUUGGGGGUAAUUGGUGGUCAUGCAUGCAAAAUUUCUAGAAACCAUGCAUUAGGCUCUAUUUCCGGGUAAUUUGGGUUAUUGAAGCAUGUCUCAUGUUAUUAUUGAUCAUCCAUACUUUGUGGUGUGUAUUGUGUGAUUGGUUUUAUCGUUGGAAGCAUGUUUGGCCUUAGUCUAGGCUUAGACAAGAUAUUGCCAUAGACUUGCGUACUUUUGGAGCUGUUAGGCCUUGAAACUUCUCCGACGUCGCAUCGGAUGGCUUAGCUCCUUUAGACUGAUAUAGCAGACUUGAGUCUGAUAGUCUCGGUCUUAGCUAGGCAGUAACACCGUUGUUGGGACCUCUUAUCCAUAAUUCUUUUAUUUCGUCGACCCCAGGUUACUUGAUUCUUGGUUUUGGAAGGCUACUCGUCGAUUCUGGUUGGAUGUGGUUUAGGCUGGAGUGAUUUAUUGAUGGCACUUGGAUUUAUUUCCCCAAAUGCUUUAAAUCAUGUUUUUUGCUCAUGUCUAGAUGUGUGUUCUAUGAUUUAUGCCAUGUUAUGGGUACGUUAUAGCCAACAAUGGCAUCAAGUGCCGGCUACCGUGACACAAAACUUCGACUUUGAUCAAUUUAUAUGAUUCUUGU